CAGCCGCCACGGUAAUACGGAGGGAGCUAGCGUUGUUCGGAAUUACUGGGCGUAAAGCGCGCGUAGGCGGUUACUCAAGUCAGAGGUGAAAGCCCGGGGCUCAACCCCGGAACUGCCUUUGAAACUAGGUGACUAGAAUCUUGGAGAGGUCAGUGGAAUUCCGAGCGUAGAGGUGAAAUUCGUAGAUAUUCGGAAGAACACCAGAGGCGAAGGCGACUGACUGGACAAGUAUUUACGCUGAGGUGCGAAAGCGUGGGGAGCAAACAGGAUUAGAUACCCCCGUAGUCCCUGUCUCUUAUAU
rnacentral:rRNA from 1 species